CCUACGGGAGGCAGCAGUGAGGAAUAUUGGUCAAUGGACGCAAGUCUGAACCAGCCAUGCCGCGUGCAGGAAGACGGCUCUAUGAGUUGUAAACUGCUUUUGUACGAGGGUAAACGCAGAUACGCGUAUCUGUCUGAAAGUAUCGUACGAAUAAGGAUCGGCUAACUCCGUGCCAGCAGCCGCGGUAAUACGGAGGAUUCAAGCGUUAUCCGGAUUUAUUGGGUUUAAAGGGUGCGUAGGCGGUCGGAUAAGUUAGAGGUGAAAUCCCGAGGCUCAACUUCGGAAUUGCCUCUGAUACUGUUAGGCUAGAGAGUAGUGGAGGUAGGCGGAAUGUAUGGUGUAGCGGUGAAAUGCUUAGAGAUCAUACAGAACACCGAUUGCGAAGGCAGCUUACCAAGCUACUUCUGACGUUGAGGCACGAAAGCGUGGGGAGCAAACAGGAUUAGAUACCCCAGUAGUC
rnacentral:rRNA from 1 species